rnacentral:rRNA from 1 species
GACGAACGCUGGCGGCGUGCCUAAUACAUGCAAGUUGAGCGAUGAAGAUUGGUGCUUGCACCAAUUUGAAGAGCAGCGAGCGGGUGAGUAACGCGUGGGGAAUCUGCCUUUGAGCGGGGGACAACAUUUGGAAACGAAUGCUAAUACCGCAUAACAACUUUAAACAUAAGUUUUAAGUUUGAAAGAUGCAAUUGCAUCACUCAAAGAUGAUCCCGCGUUGUAUUAGCUAGUUGGUGAGGUAAAGGCUCACCAAGGCGAUGAUACAUAGCCGACCUGAGAGGGUGAUCGGCCACAUUGGGACUGAGACACGGCCCAAACUCCUACGGGAGGCAGCAGUAGGGAAUCUUCGGCAAUAGACGAAAGACUGACCGAGCAACGCCGCGUGAGUGAAGAAGGUUUUCGGAUCGUAAAACUCUGUUGGUAGAGAAGAACGUUGGUGAGAGUGGAAAGCUCAUCAAGUGACGGUAACUACCCAGAAAGGGACGGCUAACUACGUG